UACGAAGGGAGCUAGCGUUGUUCGGAAUUACUGGGCGUAAAGGGCGCGUAGGCGGCUUGGCAAGUUGGAUGUGAAAGCCCAGGGCUCAACCCUGGAAUUGCAUUCAAGACUGCCUUGCUUGAAUUCGGUAGAGGUUGGUGGAAUUCCCAGUGUAGAGGUGAAAUUCGUAGAUAUCGGGAGGAACACCAGUGGCGAAGGCGGCGACCUGGGCUGAUACUGACGCUGAGGUGCGAAAGCGUGGGGAGCAAACAGG
rnacentral:rRNA from 1 species